UACGUAGGUGGCGAGCGUUGUCCGGAUUUACUGGGCGUAAAGAGCGCGCAGGCGGUCGUAUAAGUCGCGUGUGAAAGCCCCCGGCUCAACUGGGGAGGGUCACGCGAUACUGUUCGACUUGAAGGCAGGAGAGGGAAGCGGAAUUCCGCGUGUAGCAGUGAAAUGCGUAGAGAUGCGGAGGAACACCGAUGGCGAAGGCAGCCCCCUGGGCUAACACUGACGCUCAGGCACGAAAGCGUGGGGAGCAAACAGG
rnacentral:rRNA from 1 species